GGUAAGUAGAUUGGAUUAGGGUAGAUUGGUUGUGGUAGGUUCGGUGGUAAGUAGAUUGGAUUAGGUAAGAUUGGUUAGGUGGGUAAGUAGAUUGGAUUAGGUUAGAUUGGUUGUGGUAGGUUAGGUGGGUAAGUAGAUUGGAUUAGGUUAGAUUGGUUGUGGUAGGUUAGGUGGGUAAGUAGAUUGGAUUAGGUAAGAUUGGUUGUGGUAGGUUAGGUGGGUAAGUAGAUUGGAUUAGGUUAGAUGGGUUGUGGUAGGUUAGGUGGGUAAGUAGAUUGGAUUAGGUUAGAUUGGUUGUGGUAGGUUAGGUGGGUAAGUAGAUUGGAUUAGGUUAGAUUGGUUGUGGUAGGUUCGGUGGUAAGUAGAUUGGAUUAGGUUAAAUUGGUUGUGGUAGGUUAGGUGGGUAAGUAGAUUGGAUUAGGUUAAAUUGGUUGUGGUAGGUUAGGUGGGUAAGUAGAUUGGAUUAGGUCAGAUGGGUUGUGGUAGG